UACGGAGGGUGCAAGCGUUAUCCGGAUUCACUGGGUUUAAAGGGUGCGUAGGUGGGCAGGUAAGUCAGUGGUGAAAUCUCCGAGCUUAACUCGGAAACUGCCGUUGAUACUAUUUGUCUUGAAUAUUGUGGAGGUAAGCGGAAUAUGUCAUGUAGCGGUGAAAUCCUUAGAUAUGACAUAGAACACCAAUUGCGAAGGCAGCUUACUACACAACGAUUGACGCUGAGGCACGAAAGCGUGGGGAUCAAACAGG
rnacentral:rRNA from 1 species